rnacentral:lncRNA from 1 species
ACCGAAGGAGCCCUUAUGUAUUGUAAAUUUUAUAUAAUAUGGACUAUAUAUAUCUACUUUCGACUCUACUCCAACAAAUACCAUUUCACCGAAAAAAAGAGAUGUCAAUAUGCCGUCUAUUUCCAUUUAAUACUACGUGCUAAAUAUGAGCUGGUUGUACAUUAACAAGCUUUUAUUUUAAUAAAAUUAACUCCACGAGCCCCUCGGGACACAGCUCAACUGGUGGAUCAAUCAACAUUGUCUUGCUUCCAGCGGCAGGGUGGAGGGUUGGAUUCCUAGUGAAAACCUACAGCCAAAAAUUUGGUAUGGAGCAAUCACUGUGGAGGAGGGUCUCUUGUGCGCAGAAGUGUACAGGCAAUGGGGGAACCUGUAAUCCAGUUGAGGCAUAACCCGCGAUUUACCCCCUUCAAGGUUUUAGGGGCAUGGGUCUUGGGGGGUCCAGGAUUUAGUCUGGUAUAAGCUGGGAUACCUAGAUAUCAAAAAAAAAAAAAAAAACUCCAUGAAACAGGAUUAUAAUCCAGAGAAUAUCUCAUAUACAAAAUCCAAAUGGAAACGAAUGAUAAUUAGGUUACAAACAGAAGCCGGCUUACAAAUUCCAAGCCAAAAACAGUCAAAACAACACACUGUUGCUUAUGUACUUUUACUAAGCCGGCUUAAUAUCAGUAUUCAGUAUACUAAACUCAAAUUUUGUCUAUAAAAACCCACAUAAUUUGCAGUUUCUGAAAUGCCCUUUUUCAUUAAUCACUUGUUUUUUCCUUUGCAACAUGAAAUUUGUUAAACUUUUUUCUCUAAUUUUGUUGUUUAGAUUUGCAUUAGCACAUGAAGCCACCCUCAAUAAAAAGGUACUGCAUGCAUGAGCCUAUGUAAAAUCUAGUUUGAUUAUAGUAUUUUAGACUUGAGUCUAUUAAAAGAUCCACAUGCAUACUAUGAUUUUUUUUUUUUUUUUUUUAUAACCAUGAGUGUCCGAGCCAAGCAUACUAUGAUUUUAUAGCUACAUAUCUUACAUGAUGCGAGUAGAAAUUCAACACAUACUAUAAUUUGAUAUCCAUAGACUGCGAGCAUUUGGUACUGAAAUUAUAUUGCACUAGAUAGUACAUAAAAAAAAUGUUCACUAUGUCAAAUCUUGUCUGCUACUAUACUGAUAUAACAAAAUUAUCCUUCAAAGUUUAAGUACUAAUAUUUCCUGUGCAUGCUUACGAGUAAGGUGGAUAAUCUUGAUUUUUCACAAUCUUGCAGCAUUACAUAGUCUACAAGGGGCAUAACUCCCAACACCCCAACUCAGAAUCUGCCAUUAAGGCCAACCUUGAAGUGCUGGCUUCAGUAACUGGAAGGUAACGAUGCAAUUCCCAGCAAUCAUAUUCUAGUAAGUUGUUAUUUUUGCUCGUCUAGUAAGGUGAAUUGUAGAGUGCGGGACCUUAUUAAUAACUAAAACAAGCUGAAAAUUUGUUAACUAAACUAUCCAAUCCUAUCUAGUACUAUGGUCUGUGUACCAAACAAGAAACUAAAAUGCCGGUGAAUUUGUUUUCAGCCAUGGAGUACAAGAUGCAGCACUUCACCAUUAUACAAAAACUUUCAGAGGCUUCUCUGCUAUGCUAACAACAGAUCAAGCUGCAAAACUUGCAGGUACCCUCUGAUAACUAGAAGGUCUAAUAACACGUGCAGGCAUGUGCAAUGAACCCGUUUGCCAGUGGAACAUCUUAUGGUCGUGCUUCUAGUAGAGACAUUAAACAUGCUAAAAUUAAACUUAACUCGUAUGAUUGAAGAUCAAUCAAAUUACAAGACUUCAUAUAGGUUUCCCUUUACCAAGGCAGCGAUAAUGAUUCUGUAUUGUCUAAAUACCUCAUUACAGUUUAUGGCAUUCUUAAAUUUUCAGAUAUAACCUCGGUUGCUAUUCUUUCAAGUACAAUUACUACAAAAUAUAGAGGAAUAAUAUAUAACAAGAAGCCUACUCUAGCUUUGAUUGUUUCAUUGAUUGCAGAGCACGAUUCAGUUCUGUCUGUGUUUGAAAGCAAGACAAACAAGAUCCACACGACACACUCGUGGGAAUUUCUGGGCUUAAACAGAUUGCAACGAAAUAAUCAAUUUUCAAUGCACUCAACAUCUGACAUAAUUGUUGGUGUCAUUGACAGUGGUAAAGUCGAUAUUUAAUAUUGUUUGAACCUUCUAAUGCUCUUGAAUCAACCACUAUAAAAUCACACUACCAAUUAUUUUACCUCCAGGUAUUUGGCCUGAAUCGAAGAGCUUCAACAGCUAUGGAUUAGGACCUGUGCCCGCAAAAUUCAAGGGGGAAUGCUCAACUGGAGAGAAUUUCACAUUGUCGAACUGCAACAGGUAGCUAUCAUUGUAUAACCGCACAGUAUAUGAUAAGCAUACUUCAGAAAAGUUGAUAUACUACCGUCUGAAUUCAUUUUCAGAAAAAUUGUGGGAGCUAGAUUUUAUUCAACAGGGUUUGAAGCAGAAAAUGGUCCUCUAGAAUCAUUUGGUCUUACCUUUUUCCGAUCUGCACGAGAUAGUGAUGGGCACGGAACCCAUACUGCUUCCACUAUUGCUGGCUCACCUGUCGAUAAUGUUAGCUUAUUUGGAGUAGGGAAAGGCACUGCAAGUGGAGGUGCAAUAAGUGCUCGACUUGCAAUCU